rnacentral:sRNA from 1 species
UCUGCAGGCGCUCCAGUUCUCUCUUCUCCUCUGAUGUAGUUCUCCAUAGGUUACUGGUAAAAAGAUUCUAACAUUACAAAGAAAAUUUACAUAGAAUAUUUAAAAAAGGAUGAGAGUCAAACUGCUGUUAAUGUCGGUGUGAUUCACUCACAUGUCACUUGCGACAAUUAACUAAACUUCCGAAAUCAAAGCAGUCAGAGGUGAAACCACCGACUCUGCUCGCGCCGUUGAAGGCUCGCGCCGUUGAAGGCUCGCGCCGUUGAAGGCUCGUCGCAAAUCCUAUCGUGACCCAAUCGCUGCCCACCGUUGUCGUCGAAAGAGAGCUUCAACGAAAACCCACGGUGACUCUGCCCUAGCCCACGCGCUACCGCUUCCAACGGUGACCCUGGUCUGACCCUUUGUCGUUGUUGCUGUAUCGACUGUCGAGGGGCCUGUCUUGUUCACUGCCAUACCGACCGUCGAG